AGAGGAACCAAAAAAGAGCAGGUGACAGUGGGUUCAGAGGCACAGAUAUAAGAAAGGAGCUGGCAGGCAGGAGUGUAAAUUAGUUCCUGGUGGUCCAGAAAAAUCCAGCAGUUUCAUACUUCUUGGUGCUGAGGCUUGGGCAGGAAAAGGAGGUGAGUUCAUUGGCUGUGUGUAACCUGGAUGUUGAGACCUUGGGGAACAUGAGCUUAAUCACACUUGAGCUGAUUUUAUUUCUGAUCAUACUGCAAAACAUUGCUAUAUGGGCUCGCAUGGGCCUCGUACAGGCUCACAAGGGCCUCGUAUGGGCUCGUGCGGGCCUCUACGGGCUCACUCAGGCCUCCUACAGGCUUGCACGGGCUCGCACGGACCUCCUACGGGCUCGUGUGGGGCUCCAUGGGCGCACACAGGCCUCUACGUGCCUCUACGGGCGCGCACGGGCCUCUAUGGGCUUGCACGGGCACGCAUGGGGGCUCAUCCGGGCUCGCACAGGUGCGCAUGGGCCUCAUCCGGGCUUGUAAGGGCUCGCGCAGGCUUCCUAUGGACUCGUAUGGGCUCGCACGGGCCUCCACGGGCUCGCAUGGGCUCAUAUUGGCCUCUACAGGCUCGCAGGGGCUUGCACAGGCCUCCUAUGGGCUCUCAGGGGCCUCCUAUGGGCUCGUAUGGGCUUGUGUGGGUCUCCAUGGGCUCGCACGGGCCUCCUAUGGGCUCGUACGAGCUCGUGCGAGUCACCACGAGCUCACACAAGCUUGCACGGGCCUCCACGGGCUCGUACGGGCUUGUGAGUGCCUCCAUGGGCUCGCCCAAACUAGCAUGGGCCUCUAUGGGCUCACACAGGCCUCCUACAGGCUUGUACAGGCUCACAUGGGCCUCCACGGGCUCGCACAAGCUCGCACAGGCCUCUACGGGCUCGCAGAGGCGUCCUACGGGCUCUUACGGGCUUGCACGGACCUCUACAGGAUCGCACAAGCUUGCAUGGGCCUCUACGGGCUCGCAGAGGCCUCCUACGGGCUCGUACGGGCUCGCACAAUUUCGCAGGGGCCUCUACAGGCUCUCACAAGCUCCAACGGGCCUCUACGGGUUCACAGAGGCCUCCUACGGGCUCGUACGGCCUCCCACGGGCUUCUAUGGGCUCGCACAUUCUCGCACAGGCCUCUACGGGCUCGCAGAGGCCUCCUACGGGCUUGUACGGGCUCGCACAAGCUCCCACGGGCCUCUACAGGCUCGCACAAGGUCGCGGGGGCCUCUAUGGGCUCGCACAGGCCUCUAUGGGCUCGCAAGGGCUUCCUACAGGCUUGUACGGGCUCCUGAGUGUCUCCACGGGCUCUCACAAGCUCGCAUGGGCCUCUACGGGCUCGCACAGGCCUCCUAUGGGCUGGUAUGCCCCCUAGUGCACUCUGGACUACUUUUUCAGCUUUCUUCUGUGCCCCAGAGCCAUCUUCUGGCCUUCCACACCCUUUCACACCCCUCAGGUUCCCUCACAAUCCCUGUGGAGCCCUUCUUCAUGCCCUGCAGCCCUCUGUUGGCCCUCCACACCCUUUAGCAGCCCUCUCUUCUGCUCUGGCCCCCUCCUUCCACCUUUUUCUUUCCCCUGCAGGCCUCUCUUGGCCCUCUGCACCCCUUAGCACCCCCCUUGUGCACUCGGGACUACUUUUUCAGCUUUCUUCUGUGCCCCAGAGCUGUCUUCUGGCCCUCCACACCCUGCAGAACCUCUCUUGUCCCCUCAGACCACCUCUGGAGGUCUUCCUUGCUCCCCAGUUUUUACUUCUUUGGCCAUCUAGUCCCCCUAGGACCCCUCUAGGGUGUUCCGGACUACUCUUUUUGCCUUUCUUGUUCCCUAGAGUUGUCUUUUGGUUUCUAGCUCCUUUAGGACUUCUGUAGUGUUCUCAGAAUUGUUCCUGAGGCCUUUUUUAUGCCCUAGAGUGCUCUUUUCAUCGUUCAGUUGCCUGAGCACCCCUGUUUUCCUCUGGGCCCCUUGGGAGGCCUUGGUUGUCUUCUUCUGGCUUCUUUUAGUUSCUCUCYAGUCUCCGUAAGAGAUGUCURAUCUGUUCUGGAUUCCUCUUYAGAGYUUUGUUGUUCUGCAYRGAUYUCUGUUUGUCCUGUAKAGCCCUGAGGARCCCCUUUMUUUUAYUYUGGACUAUUCUUUCAGCCUUYCUUUUGUUCCCAAGCUCUGUUUUGGCCCUUUAGACCUUGUARGACCCCUCUAGUGCCUUCAGAACCUCUUUUGGAAGCCUUUUUUGUGCCCUAGAGCCCCGUGUUGGUUCUCCAGUCCUCUUAGCACCCCUCUUGUCUCCUUGUGUGUCUCAUUCAUCUAGAGAAACAGAGCUCGUGUUCCCCUGGAGAUCCACUCAUUCUGCCCAUUGAUCCCUUUUUCUAAUUACUCUAGGUACUAUAUAGGAAACAUCUCUCUUUAGAAGUACUCACAUUACAGAAGCACACAUGUUCCGGGAGUUUAUUUUGACAUCUUGCUUUACCCUACAGGAAAUGCUGCCCUGCUAGGGCAGCUGUACUAUCUGCAGUUCUGAACCAAUUACAGGAGUGUGGUAUAGUGUGCCCUUUAUAGGUUAUGUGGAAUGUUGUAGCUUUCUUCCUAAGCAUAAGCAGAAGUGAUUUCCAGUUAUUAAUGCAAAAGUUAGUGCUAGUUAGGACAAAAAGUUAACAUACCUCCUGAUAUUAUGGAUACAGUACAUGAAGUCUCAGUAAACAAGUAGAUGGUCUGCUUCAUGAAAGAGGCCUGUUUAUCCUUUCUGUGCUCUCCAUUCUAGAUAUUGAGUGGAAGAAAAAGCCUUCCUUCUGCCUAGCCCUAUGUAUUUAUGGGUGCCAUUGGUUUGCCCCUCCCCUCCCAAGGGCUUGUGGGUAGGAGAGUGGGUGGGGCUAGGGUUACAUAAAGCCAGGGUCUCGGGCUAGAGAGUUCAUUCUGCUUUUGUUCUUCUAUGGGAGUAGUGGUCUGGAGUUGCCUUAGCAAAUAACAGAAUCUGAGGAAGUAAAGUUACACCGGAAGAUUUAUUGCUGCCUCUGGAGAAGCAAAGAGCUAUCUUUAAUGUAACAGCAAGGGGAUGGCUCAAGCUGGAGUUGUGAGCGUGCUGAAAAUCUGCUUGUAGCAGGCGUUUUUUUUUGGGUCAGUAUGUCAGUGUGGGGUGUGCAGGGGUGGAAGAGGGCUUGUGAAUGUCCAGUUGUAUCUUCUGUUAUUUUUCAGUAUUGUUUUCUGGUGUUUUUGUGUUUAAUGUGGAAGGGAUUCAGGUUCAUCACUGGAGUCUUUGAAGAUGAUCACACUUAAAGAAUUGUUUGUCCCUGUUCUGGAGUGCAGACAAGAGGACACAGCAGAGGUCCUGGGAAAACAUUUUUCCUACAUUUAUAUGCUUGUGGGGUGUUUGUGUGUGUGUGUCGGGGGGGGGGGUCUUAUUUUUUUUAAGUAUCUGUAGUAGUUGGGAUGUGUGUGAGGUAUCAGUCUCAUAAGGUAGUCUGGUUUCUGGCUUACUUGGUAGAUGUUUUGCUGCUCCUCAGAUAUAUUGUCAGCCCUAUUCUGGGAGAAACUGUUUGGUUUUUUUGUGGUAUAUCGACUUGCAGAAGAUUCCCGACUUUAUGUGAAGAAGGAAGGAAGCACCCUUCCACCCUGUAAGUGCAGUAUGAUGAGAACAGAAGUUAUGUCAUUGGACACCAAAUGCAACUGUGAGUAAGGCCAUGUGCCCCAAGGCCUUAGAAAGUACCCUACACACAGCUAAUGAGCUUGCCUUUUUUCCUGGCCAAGGCUCAGCACUGAGAGGGAAUAAAGUGCUGGGCUUUUCUGGACCA
rnacentral:lncRNA from 1 species